CCUACGGGAGACUGCAGUGAGGAAUAUUGGUCAAUGGACGAGAGUCUGAACCAGCCAAGUAGCGUGAAGGAUGACUGCCCUAUGGGUUGUAAACUUCUUUUAUAUGGGAAUAAAAUGUUCCACGUGUGGGAUUUUGUAUGUACCAUAUGAAUAAGGAUCGGCUAACUCCGUGCCAGCAGCCGCGGUAAUACGGAGGAUCCGAGCGUUAUCCGGAUUUAUUGGGGUUAAAGGGAGCGUAGGUGGAUUGUUAAGUCAGUUGUGAAAGUUUGCGGCUCAACCGUAAAAUUGCAGUUGAAACUGGCAGUCUUGAGUACAGUAGAGGUGGGCGGAAUUCGUGGUGUAGCGGUGAAAUGCUUAGAUAUCACGAAGAACUCCGAUUGCGAAGGCAGUUCACUGGACUGAAACUGACACUGAGGCUCGAAAGUGUGGGUAUCAAACAGGAUUAGAUACCCGUGUAGUC
rnacentral:rRNA from 1 species